GGAGAUCGGAGAACUCUGAAUAGCUUUUCUUUUUCUCCGGUGAUUGAGUUUCGCCCCAAUUAAUAGCAGCAAAGAAGAGCCAUAUCUGCGAUCUGGAAGCAUUUCCUGAUUGAAAAUCCAUUAGGUUUCAGGAUUAUUUCGAGUAGGGAGAUUCUCCCAUGCACAAAAGAUGUAUGAUGAGAUGCGUGUUUUAGGAUUCAAACCCGAUACUCACAGUCACACUUAUUGUAUCAUGCUAGAUGGUUUGUGCAAGAAUGGACAUGUUGAAGAAGCUCUGGUGUUUCUUCAAGAACUGGAAAGAAAGAAUGUUGACCUCAGCUGUUCUAUGUAUGAUGUUGUUAUUGUUGGAUUGUGCAAAAAAGGCAAGCUCGAUAUUGCUCAAGAUAUAUUCAAUAAUUGUGUGUUCUGAUGGUUUACAUGUCAACGUGAGGUCGUACAAUACAAUGAUAAAUGGCCUAUGCCGGGAGGGUUUGCUAGACGAAGCAGAAGACUUGAUGAGGAAGAUGGAACAAAAUGGUCUUUCAUCCGAAAAUUUGCUUGUGAUUGUAUUUUGCAAGGAUUUCUUAAAAGGGAUAAGUUACAUGAGGUAUUUCCACUUCUGCAAGAAAUGAUUGAUAAGGGUUUCUCUCCUAAUUCAUAUACAUUUCAGCUGCUGAUAAAUCUACCUUCAGCUGAAUCUACUCUACUCGACAUGAUCCAGAGAUUAAGACCCAACGAUUAUUAGGAUGUGGUUGAGAUUGUCUGAAGAUAAGCAUCAGCCAUCAUGUGUCCUAGGAGGACUUGGGAAGAAGCAGUAAGGUGUAAAUUGUCUUUAUGCAACUCCAAACCCCUGGCAUCAACAGUUACUACAUUUGCAAGGUCAGGAUUUAACUGUGCUUCUCUUACUAUAUCUGUGUAAUUUGUUCCUGAAGCUAGAGCCACC